GCUUGCUGGCAACCAUGUGAGAUGGGACUUUCUCCUCCUUGACUUUCGCCAUGAUUGUGAGGCCUUCCCAGCCAUGUGGAACUCUUCUUUCGUGGCAAUUUUCCCCCAGGAGGGAUUUCCCUGCAGUGGACCUCCUCCCCAGUGGUACCUUCAGCCAUCAGAACACCUCGCUUUAGAUCUGUGGGUCCCAAAUUUCAUCAAAUCCAAUGACCAUUUCUAUGCUGGAAUUCUGUGAAGCACAUGACCUCAAGUCUUUGGAUAAAUGGAAACGCAGCUUAUGCCGGAAAGAUGGAAGGCUGGCUGUACUAAUAUCAGAAAUGGAAGAGGAGAGACAUCACUAGAGAUCCCAUGGAUAUUGAAAGGAUAAUAAAGGAGUAUUAUGAGCAUUGUUA
rnacentral:lncRNA from 1 species